rnacentral:lncRNA from 1 species
GCCACGGUUUGCUACUCUGCUUUUUGGGCUCACAGGUGGGUUUAAUUCCUUGCUGAGUACACCUGGAGAGGUAGCAGGCUUGUUAUCACUGUCUGUCAGUCCCACCUAGUAGAAGGGUUCUCCUGCUAGAGAAUACUGAGCUGGUUGUAGUUACAGUGAAAUAUCAGGUGAGAUUCAAGGCAUAGGACAAGAUGAACAUACUCCAAAAAUAAAAGCAGACUUUGACUCAUGUUGUCUAGCAAGUCUCCGUAUAGUAAGCUAAAGGACUUCAGUGGUGUUUGUUUCCUUUCCACAAAGAAGACAACAGCUCUGGAUUCUGAUAAAACGAAGCUUGGCAGAGUCCCAAGCAAGUUCUGGGACUACACUCAGCUUGAGCAUCUCAUUUAUCUCACAGGUAUUCAGUGAUUUUUCACAUGCUAGGCUGGCCAGCACUGAUAAUUCUAAGAGUUGGGUUUUCUAACGGGGGUUAUGCCUGUAUUUGGAUACCACUAUUACAUAUUUUUUAAGAGGUCUUUGGGCAAACAUAAGAUCAUUUUACCUGUGCUCCAAGCCAACAGGAGCUUAUGUUGGUCUGCUAUUGUAGGAGAAGAUUUUAUUAGCUCAGGUUGGUGCCAUCUUAACUGUGGCUACAAGGUUUAUCUUGGUGUGAUGUACAGAGCAGAUUAACUCACCUGCUGCAUAGACAUACCCUUAAAUGUACAAAGCCAGAUCCUUGAUUAUCAUCGAGUCACUUUGUGAGGAAGUGACGAUGGAUAAUCUCCACCUUCGUCUUGUUCCCUCUCCAACCUGGCGAGCUGUCAGUCCUCAAAUGGCAGCGCCUCCUGGAAAGAGAUCUUCCCCAUCAGUUAGAGGACAGCCUUGGCCUGAGGUGCUCUUGAAUGCAGCCCAACGCUCUCAAAUACAGGAGGUCAUGGAGGCACUGUAUUGCCCCAUAGGUCUCCUGGAUCAUGACAACACCCAAUACCCCCUUCCAGAACAGGGAAGAAAAGCUGUGGACUGCUGUUGGGUAAGCAGGGUGUUUCAGUGCUAUUUUUCAUGUAAGAUUCCUG